ACACGACUGUGACACCCCAACCCCUGACUCUCACCCUAUCUCUGUGUAGCUUGCUUGCCCACUGGUUCCAUAGCCAUUACCAACAUCCAACUUUCUUGAGAUAUUCUUAUGGAGAAUCUUUCACAUCACUCAGACACUUCAAGUUCUUCAUCAUCAAGUGAAGAUGAAGAUACAAAGUUAGAAGUGACAAGAGUUUUAAGAAGGAGAUUGAUUGUGUUAUUACUCCAAUUAUUAAGUGACUCAUCCAUUAAUAAGGAAUGAGUCUCUACAUCAUCAUUUAUAGGUUCACUUUUCAUUCAAGAACUUUUAGAUGGUUCAUCUAGCACAUGUUAUGAACUAAUGCGAAUGAAAAAACAUGGAUUUAUUUCUUUA